AUUGAACGCUGGCGGCAUGCCUUACACAUGCAAGUCGAACGGUAACGGGCCUUCGGGUGCCGCCGAGUGGCGAACGGGUGAGUAAUACAUCGGAACGUGCCCGAUCGUGGGGGAUAACGAGGCGAAAGCUUUGCUAAUACCGCAUACGAUCUACGGAUGAAAGCAGGGGACCGCAAGGCCUUGCGCGGACGGAGCGGCCGAUGGCAGAUUAGGUAGUUGGUGGGAUAAAAGCUUACCAAGCCGACGAUCUGUAGCUGGUCUGAGAGGAUGAUCAGCCACACUGGGACUGAGACACGGCCCAGACUCCUACGGGAGGCAGCAGUGGGGAAUUUUGGACAAUGGGCGCAAGCCUGAUCCAGCCAUGCCGCGUGCAGGAUGAAGGCCUUCGGGUUGUAAACUGCUUUUGUACGGAACGAAAAGCCUUCUUUUAAUACAGGAGGGUCAUGACGAUACCGUAAGAAUAAGCACCGGCUAACUACGUG
rnacentral:rRNA from 1 species